rnacentral:rRNA from 1 species
ACUCCUACGGGAGGCUGCAGUGGGGAAUAUUGGACAAUGGGCGGAAGCCUGAUCCAGCAACGCCGCGUGAGGGAUGACGGCCUUCGGGUUGUAAACCUCUUUCAGCUCCGACGAAGUUGCUCCUUUUUGGGGGUGGUGACGGUAGGGGCAGAAGAAGGACCGGCCAACUACGUGCCAGCAGCCGCGGUAAUACGUAGGGUCCGAGCGUUGUCCGGAAUUAUUGGGCGUAAAGGGCUCGUAGGCGGUUUGUCGCGUCGGGAGUGAAAACACCGGGCUUAACUCGGUGCUUGCUUUCGAUACGGGCAGACUAGAGGUAUGCAGGGGAGAACGGAAUUCCUGGUGUAGCGGUGAAAUGCGCAGAUAUCAGGAGGAACACCGGUGGCGAAGGCGGUUCUCUGGGCAUUACCUGACGCUGAGGAGCGAAAGUGUGGGGAGCGAACAGGAUUAGAUACCCUGGUAGUCCACACCGUAAACGUUGGGCGCUAGGUGUGGGAUCCAUUCCACGGGUUCCGUGCCGUAGCUAACGCAUUAAGCGCCCCGCCUGGGGAGUACGG